GCCAGGCGCGGUGGCACGUGCCUGUAGUCCCAGCUACUCGAGAGGCUCAGGUGGGAGGAUCUCUUGAGCCCGGGAGUUCUGGGCUGUAGUGUACUAUGCCGAUCGGGUGUCUGCAUUAAGUUCGGCAUCAAUAUGGUGAUCUCCCGGGAGCGGGGGACCACCAGGUUGCCUAAGGAGGGCGGAAACGGAGCAGGUCAAAACUCCCUUGCUAAUCAGUAGUGGGAUCGCGCCUGUGAAUAGCCACUGCACUCCAGCCUGGGCAACAUAGCGAGACGCCGUCUCU
rnacentral:SRP_RNA from 1 species